CCUCUUGCCUCAGCUUCCCAAAGUGCUGGGAUUACAGGCAUGAGCCACAGCAUCCGGCCUCUAAUAGUUUCUUAACUGUCCCUAGGAGGCUCAGAAAUCCUCUUAGGCCCAGGGGUGGGGAUGAACACAGACACCAUACUCACUUCCCAGCCCCUGCCUCCCCCUGAUCCCCCGCCAAGUACUCCCAGAGCAGGGCUGGCCUUCCCAGCAAGGGGGCGGGUGGGAAGGAGGUGAAAGCAGGUGUGUCUGGUGCCACCCUCACCUCCUCCUGGUUUACACAGGACUUCCUGUCAGUGGCUUCCUGUAAUUCUCACUGAACCACCCAGUAAAGUGAGAAGAGCAGCUGUCAUAGUUAUCCUGGAGCAGGCCCAGCACCCAGCCCCAGAGGAUCAUCAGAGACUGACCCGGACACUCCGGGACACUGCUGCACCCAUCACAUCCGGCUGCUGCUGCUCGCAUGGCUUCGGGGUAUAGAAGGACUCAUAACUGGCCCCGUUCAGGGCUGUGGGUGAGACUGCAGUGCCUGCAGAACCCAAGGCCUCGGGAGACGCUGCAGAGCUCAGAUGGGGGACAGUCCCUCCUUUCUUCCCUCUCUUGCAGCCCCACAGCCCCAAAUCCCCCUCAGCCCCCUUCCUACCAUGUACCACAUCCGCAUUCACUGCUGUGCAGGAAUCCCCUUACUCCUUCCUCACAACACCCCAAUGGAAGGGCAGCUGUUAUCACCUCAUCUUAUGGAUGACAAAACUGAGACACAGAGUGGACUAGAAUUUUCCCACAUUUCCUGGCGGGCAGAGCUGGGACUCGAACUGAGGUCAGGCUGCUCCCAGAGCUCACGCUAACCUCCAAAGGCAUUCCUCCCCCAGGGAUUUUCAAUGAGGAGGGUGGAGGGGUGCCCCGGUCCUCAGCUGCAGGAGGAGGGCUUUUGUCUGGGCACAGACAAUCCCAGACAGACUCUUCAGCUCCAAGACAUGACGAUGGGGGUACUGGGAGGCUCUCCUGCAUCCAGCGUCCCCAUUUUACAAAUAAACAAACCGAGGCCCAGAAAA
rnacentral:lncRNA from 1 species